rnacentral:rRNA from 1 species
UACGGAGGGUGCGAGCGUUGUCCGGAAUCACUGGGCGUAAAGGGCGCGUAGGCGGCGCGGAUAGUCGGCGGUGAAAGCCCGGAGCUCAACUCCGGGUCGGCCGUCGAUACUUCCGGGCUUGAGCACUGUAGAGGCAGAUGGAAUUCCGGGUGUAGCGGUGGAAUGCGUAGAGAUCCGGAAGAACACCGGUGGCGAAGGCGGUCUGCUGGGCAGUUGCUG